AUGAAUGCUGGCAGUGUGGAUAGGGCAUGCAAGUCAGGGGGCCCGCAAGGGCAACCGGCAGACGAGGUCAGUAACACGUACGAACGUACCCCAGAGUCUGGCAUAGCUCGUCGAAAGGCGGGUAAUUCCAGAUGGUCCUUACGAGGUAAAGAUUUAUCGCUCUGGGAGCGGCGUGCGCAGUAUCAGCUUGUUGGUAAGGUAACGGCUUACCAAGGCUACGACGCUUAGGGGAGGUGAGAGCCUGACCCCACCGAGGGAACUGAGACACGGUCCCUACUCCUACGGGAGGCUGCAGUCGAGAAUAUUUCGCAAUGGGCGAAAGCCUGACGGAGCGACACUGCGUGAUGGAUGAAGUGCUUCGGUACGUAAACAUCUUUUAUGAGGGACGAAAUCAUUGACGGUACCUCAUGAAUAAGGGCUCCUAACUCUGUGCCAGCAGGAGCGGUAAUACAGAGGCCCCAAGCAUUAUCCGGAAUCACUGGGCGUAGAGGGUGCCAAGGCGGUCGUAUUAGUCUCCCGUAAAUCUGUGGGCUCAACCUACAGCUCGCGGGAGAUACGGUACGACUCGAGGUUUGGAAGAAGGUGCGUGGAACUCACGGUGUAGGGGUGAAAUCCGUUGGUAUCGUGGGGAACACCAAAGGCGAAGGCAGCGCACUGGUCCAAAUCUGACGCUCACGCACGAAAGCCAGGGUAGCGAACGGGAUUAGAUACCCCGGUAGGUCCUGGCCCUAAACGUUGCUCGCUCGCUCUACGGAGUAUCGACCCUCUGUGGGGCUAAGCUAACGCGGUAAGCGAGCCGCCUGGGUAGUACGAGCGCAAGCUUAAAACUCAAAGGAAUAGACGGGGACUCGCACAAGCGGUGGAUCAUGUGGCUUAAUUCGUAGCUAAGCGAAGAACCUUACCCAGGCUAGAAACCACACUGCACGCCUCCCGAAAGGGAGGAAGCCUUCGAGGGUGUGUGGCAGGUGAUGCAUGGUUGUCGUCAGUUCGUGGCUUGAGCUGUUCCCUUCAGUGGGGUAACGAACGCAACCCUCGGUUGUCUGUUACUUAUGUCAGGCGAUACUGCCCCCCUCACGGGGGAGGAAGGUGGGGAUGACGCCAAAUCAGCAUGUCCCUUGAUGCCUGGGGCUGCACACGUGAUACAAUGGCCGGUACAGAAGGGAAGCAAUACCGCAAGGUGGAGCAAAUCCCAAAAACCUGCCCCCAGUACGGAUUGAGGUCUGCGACCGACCUCAUGAAGCCGGAGUCGCUAGUAAUCGUAGGUCAGCCAUACUACGGUGAAUACGUUCUCGAGUCUUGUACUCACCGCCCGUCAACUCAAGGAAGUUGGAGGCGCCCGAUAUCUUGAUUCAUUCAGGACUACGGCGAAUUCAAUGACAGGGAGU
rnacentral:rRNA from 1 species